rnacentral:rRNA from 1 species
UACGUAGGGUGCAAGCGUUAAUCGGAAUUACUGGGCGUAAAGCGUGCGCAGGCGGCUUUGCAAGUCAGAUGUGAAAUCCCCGGGCUCAACCUGGGAACUGCAUUUGUGACUGCAUGGCUGGAGUGCGGCAGAGGGGGAUGGAAUUCCGCGUGUAGCAGUGAAAUGCGUAGAUAUGCGGAGGAACACCGAUGGCGAAGGCAAUCCCCUGGGCCUGCACUGACGCUCAGGCACGAAAGCGUGGGGAGCAAACAGG